GCGCUCUUAGCUCAGUUGGAUAGAGCAACAGCCUUCUAAGCUGUAGGUCACAGGUUCAAGUCCUGUAGGGCGUA
rnacentral:tRNA from 1 species